UUUUGUGAACAUUAUUGUACAUAUACGUGAUAUUAUGUUGCUUUCCAAUAGGAUUAUUUACUGUGCAUGUUUUGUUAUAUUCAAUAAAUCCAGAUUGCUAACAUCACAGAAAUAUUUAGAAUUAUAAGAAGAAACCAACAAAAACACAAGAGGGCUGUGUUUAUAUAUGCUUUGGAUAAUGUAUUAUAGUGUUUGUUUUGGAUUCUUUUUGUAAAAGUUAUUUUAAUCACUU
rnacentral:lncRNA from 1 species